CUUAACUACAGAUAUCAACUGUACAGUGUAACAGGCUAUAAGUAUACACACAUAUACACACCUGGGCUUGAAGACACCCUAUAAGGAAUCACACUUGCUUGCACUGUAUCAUCUGUUUGUAAAUACUUCUCAACACUUGAGGGGUUCUAUACAUAUGUAUGCACACUAGCACUUUUCUGUUUUGUGAAAAAUAUAAUAUGGAAUAGAAAUAUAAAUCAGAGAGAGUGAGAUAA